rnacentral:rRNA from 1 species
UACGUAGGGUGCAAGCGUUAAUCGGAAUUACUGGGCGUAUAGCGUGCGCAGGCGGUGAUGUAAGACAGAUGUGAAAUCCCCGGGCUCAACCUGGGAACUGCAUUUGUGACUGCAUCGCUGGAGUGCGGCAGAGGGGGAUGGAAUUCCGCGUGUAGCAGUGAAAUGCGUAGAUAUGCGGAGGAACACCGAUGGCGAAGGCAAUCCCCUGGGCCUGCACUGACGCUCAUGCACGAAAGCGUGGGGAGCAAACAGG